GAAUCGGGAGCUGAGUGGGGGUUUCCCCACUGAGUUCUUUCAUUUGGAGGUUCCACCGAGAUCUGCGUGACACCCAGGAACCCCGAAGGACCCCUUGGAGGUGCCGCAUCAGUUUGAAGUAGGAGACGCAGUCCUGGUGAGGAGACACCGAGUGGGAAACCUAGAACCGAGGUGGAAGGGACCCUACUUGGUGCUACUGACAACGCCCACCGCGAUCAAAGUGGAAGGAAUCCCCACUUGGGUCCACGCAUCCCACGUCAAGAGAGCACCCCCUGGAGUCAGCCAUGAUGAGUGGACUUUGGAGAAGACUACUAAUCCUUUUAAGUUGCGCCUGCUUUGUAGGAGCGAUCCCAAAAGACUUCAACCCCCACAGUCCUGUUCAACAAACGUGGGAGGUACUCAAUGAGGGGGGUAGGGCUGUAUGGACAAUCGCCGAGGUACACCCUCUGUGGACUUGGUGGCCUGAUCUUUUCCCUGACAUCUGUAAGUUGGCUAUAGGAGCCCCUCCUGGAUGGGACUUGGAGGGGUACUCUGACAUUCAGAGGGCACCUUUAACACCCCCUCCGUACGUAGAAAAACAUUCGAGAGACCCAUGGGGUGGUUGCUCUAACCAAAGGGAUAGAAGUAAGCUUCGAACCCAUCCCUUCUAUGUCUGC
rnacentral:lncRNA from 1 species